rnacentral:rRNA from 1 species
AGAGUUUGAUCCUGGCUCAGGAUGAACGCUAGCGGCAGGCUUAACACAUGCAAGUCGAGGGGCAGCGGGGAGGAAGCUUGCUUUCUCCGCCGGCGACCGGCGCACGGGUGAGUAACACGUAUGCAACCUGCCCCUGUCAGGGGGACAACCCGCCGAAAGGCGGGCUAAACCCGCGUACAUGCCACCGGGGCAUCCCGGAGGCAGGAAAGGCUUCGGCCGGACAGGGAUGGGCAUGCGGCGCAUUAGGCAGUAGGCGGGGUAACGGCCCACCUAACCGACGAUGCGUAGGGGUUCUGAGAGGAAGGUCCCCCACACUGGUACUGAGACACGGACCAGACUCCUACGGGAGGCAGCAGUGAGGAAUAUUGGUCAAUGGUCGGGAGACUGAACCAGCCAAGCCGCGUGAGGGAGGAAGGUACAGAGUAUCGUAAACCUCUUUUGUCAGGGAACAAAGGCGGGGACGUGUCCCCGGAUGAGUGUACCUGAAGAAAAAGCAUCGGCUAACUCCGUGCCAGCAGCCGCGGUAAUACGGAGGAUGCGAGCGUUAUCCGGAUUUAUUGGGUUUAAAGGGUGCGCAGGCGGUCUGUUAAGUCAGCGGUCAAAGCCCGGGGCUCAACCCCGGCCCGCCGUUGAAACUGGCAGUCUCGAGUUGGAGAGAAGUAUGCGGAAUGCGCGGUGUAGCGGUGAAAUGCAUAGAUAUCGCGCAGAACUCCGAUUGCGAAGGCAGCAUGCCGGCUCCACACUGACGCUGAGGCACGAAAGCGUGGGUAUCGAACAGGAUUAGAUACCCUGGUAGUCCACGCAGUAAACGAUGAAUGCUGGCUGUCCGGGGGGACUGACCCCUGGGUGGCGAAGCGAAAGCGAUAAGCAUUCCACCUGGGGAGUACGCCGGCAACGGUGAAACUCGAAGGAAUUGACGGGGGCCCGCACAAGCGGAGGAACAUGUGGUUUAAUUCGAUGAUACGCGAGGAACCUUACCCGGGCUCAAACGGGGAGUGGCGCAGGCAGAGACGCCUGUUUCCACGGGACACUCCCCGAGGUGCUGCAUGGUUGUCGUCAGCUCGUGCCGUGAGGUGUCGGCUUAAGUGCCAUAACGAGCGCAACCCCCGCGUGCAGUUGCUAACAGUCAACGCUGAGGACUCUGCACGGACUGCCGGCGCAAGCCGCGAGGAAGGCGGGGAUGACGUCAAAUCAGCACGGCCCUUACGUCCGGGGCGACACACGUGUUACAAUGGGUGGUACAGCGGGAAGCCAGGCGGCGACGCCGAGCGGAACCCGAAAUCCACUCUCAGUUCGGAUCGGAGUCUGCAACCCGACUCCGUGAAGCUGGAUUCGCUAGUAAUCGCGCAUCAGCCAUGGCGCGGUGAAUACGAACCCGGGCCUUGCACUCACCGCCCGUCA